rnacentral:rRNA from 1 species
UACGAAGGGGGCUAGCGUUGCUCGGAAUCACUGGGCGUAAAGCGCACGUAGGCGGACUCUUAAGUCAGGGGUGAAAUCCUGGAGCUCAACUCCAGAACUGCCUUUGAUACUGGGAGUCUUGAGUUCGGGAGAGGUGAGUGGAACUGCGAGUGUAGAGGUGAAAUUCGUAGAUAUUCGCAAGAACACCAGUGGCGAAGGCGGCUCACUGGCCCGAUACUGACGCUGAGGCACGAAAGCGUGGGGAGCGAACAGG